rnacentral:rRNA from 1 species
GACGAACGCUGGCGGCGUGCUUAACACAUGCAAGUCGAACGAAGAGCGAUGGAAGCUUGCUUCUAUCACUCUUAGUGGCGAACGGGUGAGUAACGCGUAAUCAACCUGCCCUUCAGAGGGGGACAACAGUUGGAAACGACUGCUAAUACCGCAUACGAUCUAAUCUCGGCAUCGAGGAUAGAUGAAAGGUGGCCUCUACAUGUAAGCUAUCACUGAAGGAGGGGAUUGCGUCUGAUUAGCUAGUUGGAGGGGUAACGGCCCACCAAGGCGAUGAUCAGUAGCCGGUCUGAGAGGAUGAACGGCCACAUUGGGACUGAGACACGGCCCAGACUCCUACGGGAGGCAGCAGUGGGGAAUCUUCCGCAAUGGACGAAAGUCUGACGGAGCAACGCCGCGUGAGUGAUGACGGCCGUCGGGUUGUAAAGCUCUGUUAAUCGGGACGAAAGGCCUUCUUGCGAAUAGUGAGAAGGAUUGACGGUACCGGAAUAGAAAGCCACGGCUAACUACGUG